GUCAUCAUCGAUCUCACUCUUUUAUCAAAUCGUGCAGGUUUGUCAUCAUCGAUCUCACUCUUUUAUCAAAUCGUGCAGGUUUGUCAUCAUCGAUCUCACUCUUUUAUCAAAUCGUGCAGGUUUGUCAUCAUCGAUCUCACUCUUUUAUCAAAUCGUGCAGGUUUGUCAUCAUCGAUCUCACUCUUUUAUCAAAUCGUGCAGGUUUGUCAUCAUCGAUCUCACUCUUUUAUCAAAUCGUGCAGGUUUGUCAUCAUCGAUCUCACUCUUUUAUCAAAUCGUGCAGGUUUGUCAUCAUCGAUCUCACUCUUUUAUCAAAUCGUGCAGGUUUGUCAUCAUCGAUCUCACUCUUUUAUCAAAUCGUGCAGGUUUGUCAUCAUCGAUCUCACUCAUCAAAUCGUGCAGGUUUGUCAUCAUUGAUCUCACUCUUUUAUCAAAUCGUGCAGGUUUGUUAUCAUUGAUCUCACUCUUUUAUCAAAUCGUGCAGGUUUGUCAUCAUCGAUCUCACUCACCAAAUCGUGCAGGUUUGUUAUCAUUGAUCUCACUGUUCUCACUGCAGCUUGGGCGACAUAUAUAAAGUAGCUUCUUCCAUGUUACCGCCAUGUUAUU